UUCGUAGGCGGUUAUUUAAGUCAGGUGUGAAAGGCAUAGGCUCAACCUGUGUAAGCACUUGAAACUGAAUGACUUGAGUUAAAGGAGAGGAAAGUGGAAUUCCUAGUGUAGCGGUGAAAUGCGUAGAUAUUAGGAGGAAUACCAGUGGCGAAGGCGACUUUCUGGACUUAUACUGACGCUGAGGAACGAAAGCGUGGGAGCAAACA
rnacentral:rRNA from 1 species